AAUUGAACGCUGGCGGCGUAGCCUAACACAUGCAAGUCGAAGCGGUAACAGGUGUAGCGAUACAUGCUGACGAGCGGCGGACGGGUGAGUAACGCUUGGGAAUCUGCCUGUUAGUGGGGGACAACCCGGGGAAACUCGGGCUAAUACCGCAUACGCACUACGGUGGAAAGCCGGGGACCGCAAGGCCUGGCGCUAACAGAUGAGCCCAAGUCGGAUUAGCUAGUUGGUAGGGAACGGCCUACCAAGGCGACGAUCCGUAACUGGUCUGAGAGGACGACCAGUCACACCGGGAACUGAGACACGGUCCGGACUCCUACGGGAGGCAGCAGUGGGGAAUAUUGGACAAGUGGGCGAAAGCCUGAUCCAGCGACGCCGCGUGGGUGAAGAAGGCCUGCGGGUUGUAAAGCCC
rnacentral:rRNA from 1 species